UACGGGGGGGCAAGCGUUGUUCGGAAUUACUGGGCGUAAAGGGCUCGUAGGCGGCCAACUAAGUCGGAUGUGAAAUCCCCAGGCUUAACUUGGGAACUGCAUCCGAUACUGGAUGGCUUGAAUCCGGGAGAGGGAUGCGGAAUUCCAGGUGUAGCGGUGAAAUGCGUAGAUAUUCGGAAGAACACCAGUGGCGAAGGCGGCUCACUGGACUGGUAUUGACGCUGAGGUGCGAAAGCGUGGGGAGCAAACAGG
rnacentral:rRNA from 1 species